rnacentral:lncRNA from 1 species
UGCUGUAUAUGCUGAUAUUGAACCAGAAAAUCCAGCCAUGAGAGCACCAAUACCAAGAGAAAGAACACUGAAAGAGUUGGCAGCCCCUGUGGAUGAUCAAGCACUAUGGUGCAUCACUUACCCACCUUUGACAGCCCCUUUUGAGCUCAAAACAGGUUUGAUACAUCUACUACCUAAAUUUAGAGGUUUGGAGAAUGAAAAUCCACAUAAGCACUUGAAAGAAUUUCACAUUGUAUGUUCAUCCAUGAGGCCGCAAGGCAUAACUGAAGAGCAUGUUAAACUGAGAGCAUUCCCAUUCUCACUUGAUGAUUAUGCUAAAGAUUGGUUAUUUUACUUACCACCUGAAUCAAUCACUUCUUGGGAUGGAAUGGUAAGAGCUUUUCUGAAUAAAUAUUUCUCAACUUCUAAAGUCAUAAGCAUAAGAAGAGAGAUUAGUGACAUUAAGCAAAAAGAAACUGAAGAUUUGUAUGAUUAUUGGGAAAGAUUUAAUAGAUUGUGUACAAGCUGUCCUCAACACGACAUUUCAGAAAAAUCACUCAUAAAAUUCUUCUAUGGAGGUUUGCUACCAUCCGAAAGGAAAUUCAUUGAUGUAGCAUGUGGAGGUUCAAUUGAAGACAACUCACCUCAAGCAAUCAGAAAGUUGAUUUCAUCACUUGCAGCCUCAUCUAGGCAAUAUGGAGAAGAAAAGCAACUGCAAAGAGGAGUCAAUGAGGUAAGUUCACCUCCUAUUUCUUCUCAACUUUCUGAACUGACAUCUUUUAUGAAAAUUUUUGCCAUAGGACUAGUUCAACAGGUUCAAGCAUCCCAGCCACCUCGCCCAUGUGGGAUCUGUGCAUAUGUAGGACAUCCAACUGAUCAAUGUCCUACACUUCAAGAAGACAACCAGCAAGUGAAUGCCAUUGGAGGAUACAACAGUCAGGUAAGACAUGAUCCAUAUUCUAACACUUACAACCCAGGUUGGAGAGACCAUCCCAAUUUCAGCUAUGAAAGGGCCAACAACAACCAGAACUAUCAGAACUAUCAAAGGAAUCAAGCCCAACCAGCACCUCCAAAUCCCAACCAGCACCUUGAAAAGAUGAUGGAG